UACAGAGGUCCCAAGCGUUGUUCGGAUUCAUUGGGCGUAAAGGGUGCGUAGGCGGCGCGGUAAGUCGGGUGUGAAAUCUCGGAGCUUAACUCCGAAACUGCAUUCGAUACUGCCGUGCUUGAGGACUGGAGAGGAGACUGGAAUUUACGGUGUAGCGGUGAAAUGCGCAGAUAUCAGGAGGAACACCGGUGGCGAAGGCGGGUCUCUGGACAGUUCCUGACGCUGAGGCACGAAGGCCAGGGGAGCAAACGGG
rnacentral:rRNA from 1 species